AUACGUAGGGGGCAAGCGUUGUCCGGAAUUACUGGGCGUAAAGCGCGCGCAGGUGGCUUGUUGAGUCAGGUGUCAAAAUGCGGAGCUCAACUCCGCAGCGCACUUGAAACUGGCAGGCUUGAGUGCAGGAGAGGAAAGUGGAAUUCCUAGUGUAGCGGUGAAAUGCGUAGAUAUUAGGAGGAACACCAGUGGCGAAGGCGACUUUCUGGACUGCAACUGACACUGAGGCGCGAAAGCUAGGGGAGCAAACAGGAUUAGAUACCCUGGUAGUCCUAGCCGUAAACGAUGGGUACUAGGUGUUGGGGGUGACAAUCCUCCAGUGCCGCAGUUAACGCAUUAAGUACCCCGCCUGGGGACUACGGCCGCAAGGCUGAA
rnacentral:rRNA from 1 species